GAUGAAGAACGUAGCGAAAUGCGAUAAGUAAUGUGAAUUGCAGAAUUCAGUGAAUCAUCGAAUCUUUGAACGCACAUUGCGCCCGCCAGUAUUCUGGCGGGCAUGCCUGUUCGAGCGUCAUUUCAACCCUCAAGCUCUGUCUUGCGCUUGGUGUUGGGGAUCGGCCCUGCCCGCCAGCCCGGGCGGGCCGCCCCCGAAAUGAAUCGGCGGUCUCGUCGCAGCCUCCUCUGCGUAGUAAUUCAGUUAUCCUCGCACUUGGAGCGCGGCGCGGCCACUGCCCGUAAAACGCCCAACUUCUCAAGAGUUGACCUCGAAUCAGGUAGGAAUACCCGCUGAACUUAAGCAUAUCAAUAAGCGGAGGA
rnacentral:misc_RNA from 1 species